rnacentral:rRNA from 1 species
UCCUGGCUCAGAUUGAACGCUGGCGGCAUGCCUUACACAUGCAAGUCGAACGGCAGCACGGGAGCUUGCUCCUGGUGGCGAGUGGCGAACGGGUGAGUAAUACAUCGGAACGUACCCAGGAGUGGGGGAUAACGUAGCGAAAGUUACGCUAAUACCGCAUAUUCUGUGAGCAGGAAAGCGGGGGAUCGCAAGACCUCGCGCUCUUGGAGCGGCCGAUGUCGGAUUAGCUAGUUGGUGAGGUAAAAGCUCACCAAGGCGACGAUCCGUAGCAGGUCUGAGAGGAUGAUCUGCCACACUGGGACUGAGACACGGCCCAGACUCCUACGGGAGGCAGCAGUGGGGAAUUUUGGACAAUGGGGGCAACCCUGAUCCAGCCAUGCCGCGUGAGUGAAGAAGGCCUUCGGGUUGUAAAGCUCUUUCGGCGGGGAAGAAAUGGCAACGGCUAAUAUCCGUUGUUGAUGACGGUACCCGCAUAAGAAGCACCGGCUAACUACGUGCCAGCAGCCGCGGUAAUACGUAGGGUGCGAGCGUUAAUCGGAAUUACUGGGCGUAAAGCGUGCGCAGGCGGUUUCGUAAGACAGACGUGAAAUCCCCGGGCUCAACCUGGGAACUGCGUUUGUGACUGCGA